AUUGAACGCUGGCGGCAGGCCUAACACAUGCAAGUCGAGCGGUAGAGAGGUGCUUGCAUCUCUUGAGAGCGGCGGACGGGUGAGUAAUGCCUAGGAAUCUGCCUGGUGGUGGGGGAUAACGUUCGGAAACGGACGCUAAUACCGCAUACGUCCUACGGGAGAAAGCGGGGGGAUCUUCGGACCUCGCGCCAUUAGAUGAGCCUAGGUCGGAUUAGCUAGUUGGUGAGGUAAUGGCUCACCAAGGCGACGAUCCGUAACUGGUCUGAGAGGAUGAUCAGUCACACUGGAACUGAGACACGGUCCAGACUCCUACGGAGGCAGCAGUGGGGAAUAUUGGACAAUGGGCGAAAGCCUGAUCCAGCCAUGCCGCGUGUGUGAAGAAGGUCUUCGGAUUGUAAAGCACUUAAGUUGGGAGGAAGGGUAGUAACCUAAUACGUUGCUACUUUGACGUUACGACAGAAUAAGCA
rnacentral:rRNA from 1 species